UUUGGAUCUUUGAUGUAAUCUUUGAUAGUGAUAUUUGACAACUAAGGCCUGAGAUAGUUUUUAAUCUCUCUAAUUUAUAGCCCUUGCUACUUUUCUUGUAGGUGGAAGUAAUUUCUCUUUAAGGACAUAGCAUUAUGAUGAAGACUCAUUUGGCCCAAGUCUAAAAAUCCAAAAAGCUUGAAUAAUGGUUCUAUUGUAUUGUGUUUAUAUUUUUAUUUUGAGAAUUGUGAUUAUAAAGAUAAUAGCACCAGGGUAAUACUGUUAAUUUUGAAGUAACUGCUGAAUUAUUAAAGACAUUAAGGGAUUGGGGGUUUAGCUCAGUGGCAGAGUGCUUGCCUAGUAUGCUAAAGCCUUGGGUUUGAUUUUCAUUGCUUAAAAAAGAAAAGAAAAUUUGUUCCAUUGUAUUCAAGUUUUUUCAUUAAAUUUCAAUAUUCUCAUUACCUAUUCACUUGUGGAUAAAUCUUAGCUCCUAACUUUAAAAAGAUAUUUCUCUUACCAUUCAGUUUUGUGGGAAGGGGAAAAAAAUCUUGAUUGAAAUUGGACAAUUUGAGCUUUCUUAAAUUUGCAUUUUCUGUAGAUUCUUAAUAAAAUGAUGAAGUGGAUAGGAAGUCAGUGGACUUUUAGUAUUUAAAAUCUGUAUCUUGAGUUGUGGCAUAUAUUGUAUAUAAUAUCUGUCACUUAGGCUAUUGUGGGGCCCAUCAGAUCUCCUCAUUAAAGACAUUUGAGAGGUGAUAUUUAAACUGAAUCUUGAAGAAUGCAUAAUUGGUAUGGCCAUGGGAGAAGGUCAUUUCAGG
rnacentral:lncRNA from 1 species